UGUUAAAAAUUUCAUACAUUUCUACGUUUAAACACUAGUAUGGUUAACGGAAUAACCAAACUGUUACACAUGGUGUGCCAUGCAUACCACAUUCUAACGUACAAUGACCAAUUUUUAACAAUAGAAAUAGAUGGAAUUUUUAAUA
rfam:Gossypium hirsutum cultivar TM-1 chromosome 9, whole genome shotgun sequence